rnacentral:rRNA from 1 species
CGCAUCUGUGCAUGCAGCAUAUCAAUAAGCGGAGGAAAAGAAACUAACAAGGAUUCCCUCAGUAACGGCGAGUGAAGCGGGAAGAGCUCAAAUUUGAAAUCUUGAAAGGUCUACCUUGCACGAAUUGUAGUUUAAAGAAGUGUUUUCUGUGACGAUCUGGUAUAUAAGUUCUUUGGAAUAGGACAUCACUAGAGGGUGAGAAUCCCGUCUAUGAUUGCAUAUUUGUAGCUUUGUGAUACACUUUCAAAGAGUCGGAUUGUUUGGGAAUGCAGUCCCAAAACGGGAGGUAAAUUUCAUUCUAAAGCUAAAUAUUGGCGAGAGACCGAUAGCGAACAAGUACCGUGAGGGAAAGAUGAAAAGAACUUUGAAAAGAGAGUUAAAUAGUACGUGAAAUUGUCAAAAGGGAAGCGUUUAAACACCAGUGUUGUUUUCUGAAAAUCAACCUCUGUUAGCUUUAUGCAUGUUUGUUUAGACCUAAUCAGCUAUCUUGCAUGUUCUAUUGUUUGCAGUGAUGCACUUUUCAGUUUACAGGUCAACAUCAGUUUUUUUUACCGUAAAAAAGUUAAAGAAAGGUAGCUCAUGGCUCCGGUCGUGAGUGUUAUAGUCUUUUUCCUAUGCGGUAGGAGAGACUGAGGUCUGCAGUGUAGGCUAUUUGGCUAGAUACUCAGGUGCUAUGUGAUACCAUUUCAUAAACAACUUGUUGAUUAUGUUUUGUCUAUUGCAUACUCGCUUGUACUAUCAUACCUACGCUUAGGAUGUUGACGAUCAGCUGAGCGCG